UCACCUUUAUAUCCAUCUUCCCUCUACGGUCGUAUACAUUAUACAUUUCUUAGUGAGAAAAAAAAUAAAUAAAAAGCAGGACAAAUUUACCUAUUUAGCUCGGUCACCCUCUAUUCAUCCUCGUUAUAAAUAUAGCACUUAGUAAAAUUGCUGGUCUAUGAAUAUUGUUAUAUAUAACAACAGAAAAAAGCAAUUGAAAAAUGUAUAAGAUAGGAAAUGGGAUUUUAAGUCGUGGAAAUUGUUUAACAUCCUUCAAUACAAGACAAGUCCCACGUUUAAUACAGUAUGGCACUAAUAGUAAAAAUCCUUCUGAGAAGAGAGCUGACAUAACGCAAAGAAGAAUGGCUUUCUUCAAGAAAAUGUGGCUUUUACAUUAUAUGAAUUUCAUUUCAUCGUACCAGAAGAAUUUAGAGAAAAAGUUUCCAAAGAUGAAAAUAAUGCGUAUUUUUAACUCAGGGAUCAAAGAUUUAUACCUUGAUAUAAAAAGAUAUGUUUUUAUUAGAAAAAAACAAAAACAGCAAGGAAUUGAAAAGCUAACAAGGGAUGAACUGGAACUAAGUUUUACGUUGCCGAAAGACUUGAUCAAAGUGUCUCCAAUCUUAUUGAUUUCAGCAAUCCCAUUCACUAAUUAUAUAGUACUUCCUAUGAUUUACUUAUUUCCUAGAACGUUUCUCAUCUCUCAUUUUUGGUCUAUACAACAAAGACUCGAUUACCUUUUGUAUGAACACAAACGGAAAUUGAAAUACAAUAAAUCUGUGCUAAGGUCUUUACAAGCGGAAAUGCAAAACAUUGAUCAACCGAGCUUAAAAGUAAAAUGGAGUGGGGUGAUUGCGAGCUUAGGUAGUGGUACCCACCCAACAACUUCAGACAUUAUUGCCUCGAAACAAAUAUUUAUAGGGCAGCCGUACUCUUUGAAUUCACUUAGAAAAAGUCACGUGAAAGAACUGCUUCGAGUUCACGGCAUGCCUGAAUGGAAACCUUUUAGAAGAAAAAGGUUACUUGACAGGGGACUAUUAAUAAAAAGGAUGGAUACUGCAAUUCGAAAUGAAGGAGGUGUCACAAAAGUACCAAAUGAAGCGUUAAAAUGGCGAGAUGUUAUUUGUUAUGCGCGACUCUCCUUAUUGAGUUUCAAAUCAUUUGUGAGAGUGGCUCAUGUUAUCUUCAGCAGUCGUGGUCAGCAAUCGCGACUCUUCGCUCUCGUCCUUUCAUAAUUAUGGAUUCUAUAUGCUACAUAUCGGUACUUCAUACAUUUAGUCAGACUCUUUUGAUUACUAGGUCGUCUGACUACCUGCAUGUUCUUUCACUUGUUGUACCUUUGCAGGUGGCUGAUGGUUGAAAAUACAUCUUUAAUCGAUUAAUUUAAGUUAAUCUCACGUUCAACACAAAGUUCCCAAGUUGAGGAAAAUAUCUUUUUCUAAACAGUUUUCAAAUUGCCCAAAAACUUGAAGCAAAUAUCCCCCAAAAAGACUCAAGUCUCCCAAGAAAAGAGAAAGUUUACCAUCUGAAAAAUUGCAUUGAAAUAAAAAAAGCAAUGAAUUAAAUAUUGAUAAAGAUGAAAUAAAUAAACAUCUGAGGACUAUCUAGAAGUAUUAAUAAGCGCUAUCAAGAAACAAAAAUGUAAUAAUAUGGAAAGGAUCUGAAAUGUCAAAAGAAUUAAACUUUCAAAUUUGAGUUCAAUAGAGAGCAAAAAGUGCAAUUGAUAAGGAAAGAGGUGCAACAGAAUAAAGCUAACUAGGCAAGACUCAAUUGUAAAAUAAAUUUCUUUUGAAAAAGACAUUAUCCAAGUCAAGAGCGAAUGGCACAAAUAUGUAAUUCAUCCAUUCAACAGAUUUUCGAAGAAAAAACAAUACCUACUAAUGAGCACCUUGCAAUAAAUGAAAUGUCACGAGCAGCCAAAUGCUAAACACCAAAAAUCAAAGUUUUACCUUGCAGUAGGACAAUUCGAAACCAAUCGCAGUCUUCACUAGCAAAGGACCGACCACAGGCACAGCCUUAGCAAAACUAAUCGUUUCACUCGAAACAGCUGGUGAAAUAAUGUACGGUGUGAUGUGCGAUGGUGUAACGACAAACCGAAAAUUUAGGACGGAAUUGGGAUUGACUGGGAAAAAAGAAAAUUGCAGAAACUGAUUCACACAUCCAACGGAUGAAAAAUGUAACGUUUUUUUCGGACAUAUACCAUUCGAUAAAUAAUGUCAGAAAUCAUAUGGAAAAUAAAAAAGCUAAAUUAAGGGUAUCCCUGAUGAAUCAUACGUUGAUUGGGAAUAGUUUCAUAUCCUGUAUAAUUUAGACUAGUCUCAACCAUAGACGAGAAGAAUGUGUCCGAGAAUUACAACUAGCCAUUUAUCACUCAAUAAUUUUUCAAAAAUGAGAGAGAUUCCAGUAGCUUCAUAGAUGUUCCCCUGCUUCAUAGAAUUUUCUAAUUUAUUCCUUCUCUUUGUAGAGAUUUUUUGGCACGGUGCGGAUGGCUGGAGGCAGCUAGGAUUAUCCAUAAACACCCACUUUUUUUGCAGAUU